UUGCAUGCAGUGGCUUUUUGCCACCACACGUCCACCUCUCCCUACAGAUGAGAUUGUGGAUGUACAACAGCAUGCUAGAGUGACAUGGAGUUAACAGGGCCACCAGUCUCUCAAGAGCAGACUGCGUUGGUAGUAUAACACUCCUACAAUA